rnacentral:rRNA from 1 species
UACGUAGGUGACAAGCGUUGUCCGGAUUUACUGGGCGUAAAGAGCGCGCAGGCGGUCGAUCAAGUCGAGUGUGAAAGCCCCCGGCUCAACUGGGGAGGGUCAUUCGAUACUGAUCGACUCGAAGGCAGGAGAGGGUAGUGGAAUUCCCGGUGUAGUGGUGAAAUGCGUAGAUAUCGGGAGGAACACCAGUGGCGAAGGCGGGACUCUGGGCCGAUACUGACGCUGAGGAGCGAAAGCGUGGGGAGCAAACAGG